rnacentral:rRNA from 1 species
CCGCCAGAGAACUACAAGUGAAAAACUUAAAACUCAAAGGACUUGACGGUGUCCCAUAUCAACCUAGAGGAGCCUGUCCUAUAAUCGAUACCCCUCGCUCCACCCUACCUUAACUAGCAAAACUCAGCCUAUAUACCGCCGUCGACCAGCCUACCCUAUGAAGGUCUAAUAGUAGACAUAAUAGUCACACCACUAGUACGUCAGGUCAAGGUGUAGCAAAUGUUAAGGAAGUGAUUGGCUACAUUUUUUAUGAUAAAAAAUACGGAAUGCAUUAUGAAACCGCUCAUGAAGGUGAAUUUAGUAGUAAAG